GCAGCAGGCACGCAAAUUACCCACUCCCGGCACGGGGAGGUAGUGACAAAAAAUAACGAUACGGGACUCAUCCGAGGCCCCGUAAUCGGAAUGAGUACACUCUAAAUCCUUUAACAAGGAUCCAUUGGAGGGCAAGUCUGGUGCCAGCAGCCGCGGUAAUUCCAGCUCCAAUAGCGUAUAUUAAAGUUGUUGCGGUUAAAAAGCUCGUAGUUGGUUCUGUGUGCCACGCUGUCGGUUCACCGCCUGCCGGUGUAACUGGCAUGCCGUGGGAUGUCCUGUCGGUGGCGGCCGAGGCCCUCGGCGCAGUGUAGGUCUAACCGAAGCUCGCCGCUGUGCGCCCAGUCGCCGAUUCAAUCCUGCCGCGGUGCUCUUCACUGAGUGUCGAGGUAGGCCGACACGUUUACUUUGAACAAAUUAGAGUGCUCAAAGCAGGCUGAAUUCCGCCUGAAUACUGGUGCAUGGAAUAAUGGAAUAGGACCUCGGUUCUAUUUUGUUGGUUUUCGGAAUCCGAGGUAAUGAUCAAUAUGGACAGGCGGGGGCAUUCGUAUUGCGACGUAGAGGUGAAAUUCUUGGAUCGUCGCAAGACGGACUAGAGCGAAAGCAUUUGCCAAGUAUGUCUUAGUUGAUCAAGAACGAAAGUUAGAGGUUCGAAGGCGAUCAGAUACCGCCCUAGUUCUAACCAUAAACGAUGCCAGCCAGCGAUCCGCCGAAGUUCCUCCGAUGACUCGGCGGGCAGCUUCCGGGAAACCAAAGCUUUUGGGUUCCGGGGGAAGUAUGGUUGCAAAGCUGAAACUUAAAGGAAUUGACGGAAGGGCACCACCAGGAGUGGAGCCUGCGGCUUAAUUUGACUCAACACGGGAAACCUCACCAGGCCCGGACAUUGGAAGGAUUGACAGAUUGAUAGCUCUUUCUUGAUUCAGUGGGUAGUGGUGCAUGGCCGUUC
rnacentral:rRNA from 1 species